UUACAAUAUGUUUCCCACAUUCACAUGUACUACGAUUUCAGACACCCCUACAGUGGACCAUACCAUUUCUUAACUUUGACGUUACUCAUACCCAGGUUUUAAUGUUAGCAGUACGUCUCCUAUGUCUGCCAUCAGGACCUUAAAACUCUACUCCCUUCUGUUGGGCAGACACGAUAAUUCAAAGUUUUUAAGAUGAAGAUUAAUCACACAACAGAAGAGGGAAAAGAAGACAACUUUUAAUAGAGGUCAUAAGCCAAAAAGGUUGUGAACCACUGCUUUGACACAACUGUUUCUGUGGAAAACAGCCCACAGUCUGAGCCAGGGAGACUCAUACUGGCUCGGCCUGAGGAGCAGUAGUGCUGACGGGGGGUGGAAAUGGAGCGAUGGCUCCCUGGUGGAAAAGGGACCACAGUUUUGGGAGUGUGAGCCCAAUAAAACAGCAGUGUGGUCAACUCACCCCAGCAGAUGACUACAAGAAGAGCUGGUGAGAGGAGACAAGCUGCUCUACAGUGAGAGGAGAGGAGUCCAAACUAAAUCAAAGGAAGCAAAGCAAAUGAUUCAUGUACUGAAGGGAUAUGUUAUUUUUACUACUGUAUGCUUUGUAUGAUUAAAAAAGCAAGUCAGCCUUAAACUGAUGAUUAUGAUUGUUUAUGAACAUUGUGACAUGUGAACAUUAAACAUUGUGACCCUGAUUGCCGUUUGAGAUUGCAGAAUGACGUACAGGGACAGACAAGACAGUAAAGAGAGUACAAGUAUGACAUGUUUAGAUAACAGGUUCAGGUCAGAGUGGUGUGAGGAGAGAAGAGCGGAGUGACCCUGUUACACAGAGAAUGUGUGUAUAAGAAUGAAUGUCUGAAACAAUAAAGUACUGCAUGCUGCUUAUACAGGCGAGAUGAGAGCAGGGUGGUCCAGAGCUCUGUAAGCAAUCUCAAACUUAUAUGCUUGACUAUACUUUUAAUAAAUUAGACGUGUUGAACUUUA